AUGAGACUUUGCUGGAUAAUGCGAAUAGGAGCCCUCCCUCCCCUCAAGCACCUCCAAGAGAAGUUGACCAGAGCCCCGCGCUUAUUCACCAAAGUGGAUCAAUUCCAGCUGUUCUCUUGGAUCAUGCAGGACCAGAAGCAUCUGCUCAUGUUGCCUCAUGUGUUCCUGUUGCUGGUGCUUCUAUUGCAGCAGGUGCCGAUUCUGGAGCAAGGCUCUCUGCUUCUAUUCUUGGUUGCAGGCCUAAGUCUCGAGGUACCCGUUGGGAUAUUCCUCCAGGAGGUGGUUCUUCAGGCUUAUAUGCCAGCUUUCAGAGGCAACGCCGAGUUUGGACUCGUGAUUCUGCUGGGUUAA
rnacentral:rRNA from 1 species